CAGACAAGCAGCAGAAAACUUGUUACAGACAUUGGAACAAGAGGCUAGAAAGGCUUCCAAGGAUCUCUACAUUGAAGUUUCCCCCGGCACCUACUCUGUCACAGCAACCUCGGAGGAUAUGGUGAAACAGACACAUGUGGUGGAUGUUAAUGCAGGACAAAGUAUUGAUUUAACUUUCAGUAUAUGAUGAUCACUCUCAAUCAAUCAAAGGAAUAAAACAAUACUACAGUCUCCUAAUGAAUUAAUA
rnacentral:lncRNA from 1 species